GCUUCAAUGUCAGAUGAAUUGUUCCAUUGUGUUGCGUCACUGUAGGUCUUUUCCAGGCCGAAGAGUUUACAUUGACGCAACAAUACUAGGAUAAGAAGGAUGAUUAGCUUGAUCCUUUCUCUGUUUCUUGUAUACUUUGCAUGCUGCAUAAGUUAGGAAGUACUAGCUUUUUGGAGUUGUUCGUUAAUAGGUAUUUACAUGCUUUUGACUGGGAGACAGAAUUUGUGCAAUUUUAGAAAAUUUAAAGCAUCGGUAUUUGACAACCAUCAUGCUCUUAUCAAUACAAGCAGUGCAAAUAAAAUGGACCUGACUCUCCCAUUCUUUCUUCCACAAAUCAGGUGUGCUUUUUUCUAAGGCUGAUCAUGAAGUUGUUACUAACUCUGAAGCUAAUAUUCCGAAUUUGAUGCGGUCCGAUGUCCGAUCGAUCUUUGUUCAUAGCAACCAGUUUUAAGCUCUGCCAUGUUGUAAAUCUUUCUGUCAUAGCAACCAGUUCGUGUUCAAUUUUCCCAAAUUUUGUUAUGUGCUUUGAUGUUUGAUUAGAAUCUGUGCUGGAUGAUUUACUCCCUCCGUUCCAUAAAGAUUGGCCUGACUUUGAACUAGCUAUAGUUCAAAACCAUGCCAAUCUUUGUGGAACGGAGGGAGUAUUUGUUAGGCCGUUGGAUUCAACAAAUUGGAUUGGGUGUACUGAAAACAUUCAGUCCUAAUUUGGUUUAACUUUUUGGCGGUUAGGUUGCCAUCAGAUCGGAUGGUUAUAAUUCAAAAUUUGGUUGCCAGAGAAUAUAUAUAUAACACAAGGAAUCAUCUAUCAACAGCAUAAGCAUGUAAUCUCAUCACUAUACUGUGCUACCAGAGAGAAAAAUACCUCUUCCAAGCAAAGGACACGAGAAGUGUGGCCAUCGAGUUUGGCCAAUUUAACCAUCGAUUGGUACUUCCAUAAUGUAAGUGGGUUUUGCACAAAUUCACUAGCACUUAACACUUAACAACUCCUUUUCAUUCUUAUUCUAGGGUAAUUCAUUCAUUGUAGAUUUUAUUAUUCACUAUGCCUAGGUACGUGUCCAGGUUCCUUCAAAAAAAAGUGUGUGCGCAGUUUUCUUCAGGUUCCCGUGCAACUAACUAGGAUUACUAGGAAUAUUACUGUUCUGGUCUUAAUUUAGCAUUUGUCAGAUGUAGUUCAGUUAAGUUCAGAACUGAUUCUUCUCUCUGGCUUCUGUUCUGGUAAUGCUUGAAUUGAUUCUGGCAGUACGUGAGGGAGCUGGAGCUGGAGCGGCACGUGCGGAGCAGGCUGGCCGGCGAGGCCUGCCUCUUUCAAUUUUCUCAACCUCGGCUUGCUCUAGCGCGCGGAGUAGCAGGAUGGGUGGCGCUCGGCCGGAGCCGACCCAUAUGGGGACGCGCGAGCUGGAGAUGUUGCACAGGUGAUGCUUCAUGUGUAUGGUGAUCAAACCUUACCACAUUAGCACAUAAACCGUUCUACGCACACCAGGUAUUUGUGUUUCAUCCAAAUUUCUUUCCGUAAGGUACACUGUAGAAGGCAAUGAGGUUUGUUCAUUUGGUAUUAGUGUAUUGUUACAAAGAUAUGCAAGAAUUUUAUGGGUAUUUUUUUUAUAGAUUUGAUCAAGUUUGAUCAAGUUUUUUAAUGGCAAUUGUUCCAUCAAGAAUCUGAACUAAACUAAUGUGAUUCUUCCUCAUAGCAUUUCUAAGUUCAUUCCGUGAUUGAAAUGCACACCUGAAAAAGGUGAUUCAAGUCUCUCUAUUCUAUUGAUCUUCCAUACAUUAAAUCUAUACACAUAUCUACAAAAAAAAACCAUCUAAAUACCCAAAUCACCUCCCUUGUUUUUUUUAACACUGAGCUGCCAUGGUUUUUAGUUUCACGCCAUUCAUAUCUCAGAAUGUCCCUUGUCUCAGCAACUAUACUUCAGAAAACUUGUUUUAAAAUAAUGGCCAAGCUUAUGGUGCAGAUUGUUAUUUCUAAACCAAUGAAUUAUUUAAAUGAAUUAGACCCAAUGCUGUGAUUCAGAUGAAACAUUAUCAGGUUUUCGUUGGUGGUAAUUAUGUUUCUGCCUCCACUGCUGUGUCAUCAGAACGGCGACCAAAAGCUCCCUGCAUCCAGCUUUGAGUUAUUAACAGGGCACUUUCUUAGUAUACCAUACAUGUUGUUGGCUUAGUCAUCGGAUGCUCUGAGAAUUCUUAUUUUGUACUGGAUGCAUGUACUCACCAGCUAUAUUGCUGAACUGCAAGCUCUCAUUUUGCAAGCUGCUCGAGGACAGUAUAUAUGCAAGAAAUUAAUUAAUAAGUAGGUAGUAAAAUUAUCUACUGAAGGUGUAUUAUAUAUUUUAGAUGAAAGAUAAACCUGUCAUUACAUUUCCGGCUCUCUUUUAUCAGAUCUGAAGCAAAACUAUGCAUAUGGUCUUUCUGGUGCUUUUAGACUUCUGUCUCGAUUAGAUAUCCAUCGCCCAGUAAUAUUUUGAAUAUAGUUAUACAUACGGCUUUUGGGGUUCCUCACUCCAACAGUAGAUGCAAAAGAAGAUAUUACACUAUGAACUGGCCCAGAUCACCAGGGUACUGGUGCUUUCUUACUUCUCUCUUUUCUAGCUUCCCCCACUUUAUUUUGCAUGUUCUUCUCGCAGGUAGUGAAAAUCAUCCAGAAGGAGAUGUAUUAAAUCAAAGAUGACGGCGGAGGGUCGCCGUCGAUCUCGAUGCUGUCAGAGGUGAUGGUUUCCAGGAAGAUCACCAUCGUAGGUGGAUCCGUACCCGAGAAAGGUUCAGGCUCAGGAUCAGGGCAGCUGUUCAACACCUGCUGUGUGAUCGGGCCUGAUGGAAGGUUCCUGAUUCAUAUAUACAUAUUCUCAUGUUUGCAUCAAAUUUUGUCAUGUCAUUUGCAGUGACUACACUGGGGUGAGUUGACCCUAUGACCUGUGCUUGUCACACACCAGAUAGCGAAACAGGGAAUAUUAUGCAGGAAACAGAGAUAAUAUUCUUGCUACAAGGCACCAAUCCCAUGAAAAGAAACUUGUAUAAUAUGCAGCUUUUAGGCUUAAACAUGAUGUUGGGAAUUUCUUCCAGAAGCACCAUUGAAUUAUACUGAACCUAUUUCUUGAAUUAGGCUUUGGGACUCAGUAUCUUAGUUUAGUAAGCUCCAGUUUUAAUCA